rnacentral:lncRNA from 1 species
UCCAACCAGGCUGAAACAUAAAGCAAAAUGACGAUCUUCACAUGAGAUAUUAAACCAAAAUAGAACAAAAACAAUAUGAAGGAAUAUCACCAAAACAACCAGUAAAGGUAAGAAGUAAAGGUGAGAUGGCAGUGGCUAAAGUGAUAAAAUAAAAUUACACAAACAAGACAAGUGGAUUUAGUCUUGCACAUUCCAAAGUCAAAAUUCAAAUAAGUAUACAAAAUUGAUUUCAAUUUAUUAAGAA